CACGCAGUAAACGAUGAAUACUAGCUGUAUGCGAUAUACUGUAUGUGGCAAAGCGAAAGCAUUAAGUAUUCCACCUGGGGAGUACGUUCGCAAGAAUGAAACUCAAAGGAAUUGACGGGGGCCCGCACAAGCGGAGGAACAUGUGGUUUAAUUCGAUGAUACGCGAGGAACCUUACCCGGGCUUGAAAUGCAUCUGACGAACCUGGAAACAGGUUUUCUAGCAAUAGCAGAUGUGUAGGUGC
rnacentral:rRNA from 1 species